AUGGCCCUGGGAAAGUCACCCGCGGAUGGUGUCGGGAGUAAGCAGGAGUGUGCAGAGAUAUCCUCUGAUUUUACCGUUGUCAGCUCUAGCACAGAUGUGGGCAGCCCAGUCAGAAAAGUCCCAUUUGACAGUAUGGCCCUAGGCCUCAGCAGGCGUGGGAGAGCCUACCCAUCCCCAGCGUGCAGGAGCUAUCGCACCACCUGCAGUCACAAGCAGCUGGACCAGCUGGAGAUGGUGUUUGGACAGAACCACUACCCCGGCAUCUACUGCCGUGAGGAACUAGCGAGGCUCACCAAACUCAAUGAAGCACGCAUACAACUUAUUUCUUACUGUAUUUGACAGGUAUGGUUCCAAAAUCGGCGUACCAAAUACCGCAGGCAGGAGCGUGCGUCUCAAAAGGUCUUGCCAAUGGGCAUGAUGACAGGGCACGGUGCAAUAUUGGGCUGCAUGUGUGUUCAGUCCACAGGGAUGACCUGUCAGUACUACCCUCACUCCCUGGCUCACCAUAUCCCCCGGUUCCCGUCUAUGCUGCCCCCAGGUGGUUACUCCCACUCCCACCACACAGGCUCAACCAGACAGUGUCACUGUCCUACAGUCCCACUACAGCCACAACCCCCCCGCCAGCAUGAGGAGUGGUACAACCCACUAAGGAACAUUGGAGCCCCACCCAGCAACGCCUGUGUUCUCCCUGACCUCCAUGACUGUUCUAGAUCCUGCUUCUCACUGGAACUAACGAAAGGGCAACUUCUACAUCAGGAGGUAGAUAGGCUGUGUUUUUAGAAGAAUUAACAGUUAUUCAUUGCGCUGUAGAUCAGAUUUUUUUUAAAUACAUAUUUUUUUGUGUCUGUGCAGUGAUAGGAACUAAGGAACAUGAAGAAUGUAGAGAAUAGUGAAAAUGACUUAACGCUUUCACCCCUUGAAUACCUUCCAUUGCAUGUUACAUGUUCUGUAACUUGCAGGUUGAAAGUUCAAGGUUGCCUAACAGAGAGACAUUUGUCGGUAAUCUAAAUAGCAUAUAUUUCAGGCAAUCCAUGCUCUUUCUCCUAACAAUGUAUUUUGUAUUCUCACAGUAAAUAAAGUGUGUAUUGGGAGUGAUGUUUGUUUAUGUUAAAAGUGAUGCUAGAAAAGGUUUUGUAGAAUUUCAGCCAGUAGUUUUGAAAGUAGCGUUCAUGAGUCAAAACUGGUCCCCGAAAAUUGUGCAGAAUUCUGUACACGUCAUCCAUUUCGUAUGAUGUUACUUCCUGAAAGAAAAUAUAAUUUGUUUUUCUGCAAUUGGUUUGACAUGUUAUCAAAUUCAAAUUAGUACAAUAUGUUACGAAUUUAUAAGUGCUUAAGAUCCUGUUCAAACAUAACCUACACCUCAGAGUGAACUGCACUAGCAUACUCCAAAAGGCCACAGUGUGUGAAUGCCACUUUGAAACAUACUCAACAUCAGAGAAUACUUUCAUAUUUGUUUAUUAAAAGCAUAUUCCACAGACAACACAGUUGCAUCUGUCUACUAAUCUUUUAACAUUUUAUAGUGUUCAAUUACACAUUUGUAUUCAAAUAAACUGAAUUCACUGAACAACCAACACCGAAUGAUGAAAAUAGAACUCUUCUGUAACAAAUACUUUUUCAGUAUUGGAAAUGUUAUACAUGGGUUGAAUAUAGAUCUGGGCCUUAUAACACAAAGACCUUGUAACCUUCUAAUGAUCUGUAGCUGUUUGAAAGCAAUGCAUCUCAUGAGGGGAAAAAAAAUCAAGUGUGGUGUACCUACGCAUAACAUUGUCACUUCAAUAGGCAGCUAACAUUUAUAGCAACACAACCAUGCAUUCUACUUAUAGCACAUCUGUCAAAUUAAGUUAUCCCUUGAGUAAUGGCAUCGCCCAGAGAUCUCACAGUGCUGCAAGUGAAGUGAAUCCAGUGACGAAGAAAUCACAAUGCGCAGUACAACACAGCUCCGGUAUUACAUUCAGAUUCUGCUAAUCUCAAGUAUCAGCCCUGCUGUAAACUGUAAACGGAGUUGAGCGUUCAGGGAGGUGGGUAACAGACCACGUUAGGGACGCAUAUAGUGAUCAGCAGAAAAUGUACUAAUUUGUUAUUGCCUGCGUUUGACCAGAACCAGGCCUGUACAGUGCGUGGCUUUUAUGUUACCUGGGUCGCUUUCUGUACAAA